rnacentral:rRNA from 1 species
GACGAACGCUGGCGGCGUGCCUAAUACAUGCAAGUCGAGCGAAGUUUUUCUGGUGCCUGCACCGGAAAAACUUAGCGGCGAACGGGUGAGUAACACGUAAAGAACCUGCCUCAUAGACUGGGACAACUAUUGGAAACGAUAGCUAAUACCGGAUAACAGCAUUAACUGCAUGGUUGAUGUUUAAAAGUUGGUUUUGCUAACACUAUGAGAUGGCUUUGCGGUGCAUUAGCUAGUUGGUGGGGUAAAGGCCUACCAAGGCGACGAUGCAUAGCCGACCUGAGAGGGUGAUCGGCCACCCUGGGACUGAGACACGGCCCAGACUCCUACGGGAGGCAGCAGUAGGGAAUCUUCCGCAAUGGGCGAAAGCCUGACGGAGCAACGCCGCGUGAGUGAAGAAGGAUUUCGGUUCGUAAAGCUCUGUUGUUAGGGAAGAAUGAUUGUGUAGUAACUAUACACAGUAGAGACGGUACCUAACCAGAAAGCCACGGCUAACUACGUG